GGCUCCCCCCAUGCUGCUUGGCCACUGGGAGCAGGGCAGCAGACAUGGCAGGGCCAUGGGGCAGGGCCGUGGCGGCCUAUCAUGGCCACCACCCCGGGGCACCUCGGCCUGCGCCUUCUGCAUGGCUGGCCCGCCUGCCCUCCUGCUAUGAAGUUUGGACAGAUGCCGGACCACCUGGAGACCGCGGGCUCCCUGCCGAAACUGGGCCCCCUGGCCAAGAUCCUCAGCUCGGGUCUGAAGGCAGACGAGCUAGAAUACGCAGAGAUUCAUGCAGAGAUCGCAACCUGCAAUUCCUAGAAGUGAAGUUGCCCAAGAGGCCACCACCGGACAACGCACUCCCAGAACGGCUAAGACAGUAUAGAUCUAAAUUCGUGUUUAAAAUGACAUGUCUUUGUAACAAAAGUUUCUCUCCUUAUAUAUUGAAGACCAUGUGUAUGUGUGUGUUUAAAGUUUGGUAACAUUAACUUUAAGGUUAAGAAUAUAACUUUAAGGCUAAAUUCUUACCAGGCAAAGUUAAAUGAAAAAGGUUAAACAGACUUGUUGAUAUGUAAAACUCUCAAUUACCUUCCCUAUUAGAAAUGGUAGAUUACACAAUGGCUAUGCUAAUGAUACUCAUGCCUGAGGUUUUCUUUCCUUGAUUCUCAUGUUUACCUUUUCACAUUCUAUUGUUUAAACUUUAACCAACCUUAAAAAUCAUUCUAAAAAAAGACUUCUAAUUGUAAUAGUUAUCAAUUGUGAUAAACUUCUAACCUGCUACAAGUUUGUUUCAUAGUAAGUAAAUUGCAGCUGUCAAGUUCUCUACAGAAAAGCAGAAUUCUGGCAGCGGACCUUCCUCAUACAACGCUCCACCCCCUGGCAUUCUUCCGUGGACAUCUGCUUUCGACUGGCACUCCUACUGGACUCACUGGUACACCCUUAGACACUUUGCACAAAAGUGCUGCUAUAUUUCUCAAACACUGACUGCAGCCAGCUGCCUUUGGGACUCUAGGCCGUUCCCCGCCCCCAUGCUAUAAAAUGCCCGUCGAGGCAAGUAUGCCCCCCAGAGACAGGAAAUGUUUUUUUUUAAGCUGAUAAAGUUUUGCCCACAGAGGCAAAAAAAUGGCCCCCUUAGGCCCUCCCUUGGCAGCACACUGGUUCUUGUUACUUGCUUACAUGUUUCUCCAUGUUUGUGCCAGUUUCUUUUUUGAAAAUGCCUGUACGAUAUAGGUUUCUGUUCACCUCACACCCCUGAUACUGUGGUCAUUUAGUUAAAAACAGAAGGGGGAAUUGUUGGUAUGUUCCCUUCCCCCCGACCUCUGAGAAGAAUUGGUUUGCCCCUUGCUAGUUUCACGCCCCGCUUUCUCCCCGCCCCCUAUGCUAAGGAUGGGCAGAGUCCCAGCAGCAGCGGCAGAGAGGGUGAUGGAGAAAAGCACAUGGUGUGGUGAUUUGCCCGUUCGUGAAUAAAGAUUAAACUGUGUUCUCAGCCCA